AUUGAACGCUGGCGGCAUGCUUUACACAUGCAAGUCGAACGGCAGCACGGGCUUCGGCCUGGUGGCGAGUGGCGAACGGGUGAGUAAUAUAUCGGAACGUACCGAAGAGUGGGGGAUAACGUAGCGAAAGUUACGCUAAUCCCGCAUGCGAUCUAUGGAUGAAAGCGGAGGAUCGCAAGACCCCGGGCUCCUGGAGCGGCCGAUGUCUGAUUAGCAAGUUGGUGAGGUAAAGGCUCACCAAGGCGACGAUCAGUAGCUGGUCUGAGAGGACGACCAGCCACACUGGAACUGAGACACGGUCCAGACUCCUACGGGAGGCAGCAGUGGGGAAUUUUGGACAAUGGGCGCAAGCCUGAUCCAGCAAUGCCGCGUGAGUGAAGAAGGCCUUCGGGUUGUAAAGCUCUUUUGUCAGGGAAGAAACGGUAGGGGCUAAUAUCCCUUGCUAAUGACGGUACCUGAAGAAUAAGCACCGGCUAACUACGUGCCAGCCGCCGCGGUAACAC
rnacentral:rRNA from 1 species